UUUUAUUUUUACCUUUCGUAGUUUCCGGAAUUUACAUUCAUCAAUAUCUAAUACCUCAUAUGUAGUUCAAUUAAUGCUUCUUUUGCUAUUACAGUUAAUGCUACCAUGAUUUCCCGCCUGAAGUCUGGGCACACUACUUAUUUCCUUCAAAAACGGUCAAAAAGAUUUUCCCUAAAUGUACCUACUGUAACAACGAGGAUGACUCUCCUGAACACCUUUCCUGCAUUGAUGCUUCCAAACAGAACCUGUAUAAUAAUAAACCUGUGUGAGGUCCUGGGGACCCACCCACAUUCCUUUCCUUUAUAUA
rnacentral:lncRNA from 1 species